rnacentral:lncRNA from 1 species
AAGUAGAAAAAAAAAUGACAUUAUACAAAGAAACAUUAUAGAAAAAAAAAGAGAGCACUAAUAAAUUUAUCUCAGCCCUCCACUUAAAAGCCCAGAACUGUCAGAUUAACAUUUAAAAUAGCCAACUAUGCUUUUUUCACAAUUCUGAAAGUCUGAAAAAGUAAGAACUAAAACAGAAACAUAAAACAAGAUAAAUAGUAUCAAAAGGAAGCUAUAUUUGUGUCAGCAAAAAUAAAGUUUAAGCGAAAGAGAGAUUAGGAAUAUUGAGUGUCAUUGCAGAAUUUUUUAAUUUUUGAUUCUACAGGAAGAUACAGCAAUUUUGAAUUUAAAGUAAGUAGAAUUCUUAAUCUCUCCAAGCCUUUACUAUUUUUCGGAGAAGGUUAUCUGUGUUCUUAUGUGUCUUUGAAUAUGCUAUCCAUGGGACAACUGGAGCACCAUUCCAGCAUCAAAACUCCUGCUGUGAUCAGCUGAACUUUGGUUUCAAAGCAGUACAGUUGAAGUUUUCCUUAUCUGUUUCCCAGGCUCUUCUUUGAUAUUGUUCCCAAGAGUACACCCAGUAAAUAUGUUGCAUACAAAUCUAAGAUCAUCAGAGUCUGUUUCCAAAGGAAUGCUAUUGUAACAGAAACUGAUUGGGUCAAUUAGACUAUUCCAUUAUCUAAUAUGUGGUGUUCAUAAUAGGAUGUUUCU